UACGGGAGGGGACUAGCGUUGUUCGGAAUUACUGGGCGUAAAGCGCACGUAGGCGGAUUUGUAAGUCAGGGGUGAAAUCCCGGGGCUCAACCUCGGAACUGCCUUUGAUACUGAAGAUCUUGAGUUCGGGAGAGGUGAGUGGAACUGCGAGUGUAGAGGUGAAAUUCGUAGAUAUUCGCAAGAACACCAGUGGCGAAGGCGGCUCACUGGCCCGAUACUGACGCUGAGGCACGAAAGCGUGGGGAGCAAACAGG
rnacentral:rRNA from 1 species